rnacentral:ncRNA from 1 species
GGUUGGGGGAAUUGAUUAUUCUCUUCAAGAGAUACGGCUUUUGGGGUGGAAAGCU